rnacentral:rRNA from 1 species
UACGUAGGGGGCUAGCGUUGUCCGGAUUUAUUGGGCGUAAAGAGCGGGUAGGCGGCCAGGUAGGUCUGCUGUGAAAACUCGAGGCUCAACCUCGAGAUGUCGGCGGAAACCAUCUGGCUAGAGUCCGGAAGAGGAGAGUGGAAUUCCUGGUGUAGCGGUGAAAUGCGCAGAUAUCAGGAAGAACACCCGUGGCGAAGGCGGCUCUCUGGGACGGUACUGACGCUGAGACGCGAAAGCGUGGGGAGCGAACAGG